rnacentral:ncRNA from 1 species
GCAAAGAUAAAAACGCAACGUGAGGGCAGCGCCUUUGUUGUGCCUUUGCAGAGCCGGUAGGUAGCCCGGCCGCACCGAAAGGUGUAAGUAACCCUCCCUCCUUGGGUCGUCCGUUCUUUGUUCAU